rnacentral:siRNA from 1 species
ACAGUUUUGGAACACUGGUGAUGC